rnacentral:rRNA from 1 species
GACGAACGCUGGCGGCGUGCUUAACACAUGCAAGUCGAACGGUGAAGCGCCUUCCUUUUUGGUGGGUGUGGAUGAGUGGCGAACGGGUGAGUAACACGUGAGUAACCUGCCCCCUUCUUCUGGAUAACCGCAUGAAAGUGUGGCUAAUACGGGAUAUUCUGGGUCUGUCGCAUGAUGGGUCUGGGACAGAUAUUGUUUCGGUGGGGGAUGGUCUCGCGGCCUAUCAGCUUGUUGGUGGGGUGAUGGCCUACCAAGGCGGUGACGGGUAGCCGGCCUGGGAGGGUGGACGGCCACACUGGGACUGAGACACGGCCCAGACUCCUACGGGAGGCAGCAGUGGGGAGUAGUGCACAAUGGGCGAAAGCCUGAUGCAGCGACGCCGCGUGAGGGAUGGAGGCCUUCGGGUUGUGAACCUCUUUCGCCAGUGAAGCAGGCCUGCCUCGUUUGUGGGUGGGUUGACGGUAGCUGGAGAAGAAGCGCCGGCUAACUACGUG